rnacentral:rRNA from 1 species
GACGAACGCUGGCGGCGUGCUUAACACAUGCAAGUCGAACGGGAAGGCCCGGCCUUUGUGGGGUGCUCGAGGGGCGAAGGGGUGAGUAACACGUGAGUAACCUGUCCUUGACUGUGGGGUAACCUCAGGAAACUGGGGCUAAUAGCGGAUAGGAGCUCUUGCCGCAUGGUGGGGGUUGGAAAGUUUCGGCGGUUGGGGAUGGACUCGCGGCCUAUCAGCUUGUUGGUGGGGUAGUGGCUUAGCAAGGCAUUGACGCGUAGCCGGCCUGAGCGGGGAACAGGACCCGCUGCGCUGGGACUGCGGCCCGGCCUCCACCGGUAGGCAGGGCAGGAGUAGGUAGCAUAGGAGGCGGAGGGCUGACGCGGUCCCGCCGCGUGGCGGGUGUGGGCCAUCGGUUUGUAUACCAAUUCCGCCUUUGCCGAGGCGUGAAUGACGGUACCGGGUGAAGAAGCUCCGGCUAACUACGUG